UUGUGCAGUUUUUAGGUGUUAUGCAAACCCCUAAUAUAUAUUAACACUACUGAGGAUUUGUUUCUGUUUGUUUCACUUUCAGAUAGUGGAUCUAGAAGCACAUAAUUGUAUCCUGAGUACUAGAGUUGCUAGCUUUUUCAGCAUUGCUAUUUAUAAGAGUGACUAUGAAAGCAAAUAAGCAUGCUCCAUUUCUUGUUUCCUCCAGAUGAAUUGCUGAGAACAUGGUCGGUGUGAGUGCUACAUGGGUGAUUUUGGUGAGCAAAGGAUAUGGAUUGGAUGCAGGAGCAGCUGAACCGGUAAGCAAAGUACGCAAAUGUGGAAGGCGCCAGUACCCUGGGGGCACUAUUGAGGCGCCCGGUACAGUGCCCAGAGAAAGAGAGGCAGGCAAACAAAAGUUCUAGGAAACAGCAAUGCGCCCCAGGUUUCCCUAGGCUGGGCCUUUGCUGGAGGGAGGAAACUCCUCCCUCCAGCCAAGGCCCGGCACUUUGGAGAAACGCUGGGUGUGUUGCUAAGCAGCUGCAUGCCACGGGUUUCCCUAGGCUGUGCCUUGGCUGGAGGGAGGAGCUUAGCAAUGUGCCCCGCGUUUCCCCAAAGUGCCAGGCCUUGGCUGGAUAGAGGAGUUUCCUUCCUGCAGCCAAGGCCUGGCACUUUGAAUGAAUGUAUAUAUGUGAACAGACCAUGAUGGGAACAAGAGAUAGAUGGUACCAUUUUCACUACAAGCCCCAAGAUAUGUUCUGCCUGUAUAUCUCUGACUAAUGAUGUACUGAUAAAACCCCAUGGUUCUUGUGAUAUCCAUAAUGUCCCAAACAGGCCCCAUCAGAACAGCCUUAGUAUGUAUGUUUAAGUUCUCCAAAACUACUUUUUUGGCAUUAACUCUGAGACAACUCAGGCAGGAAGACUGCUGGACAGCAGGGUGAACAGUACACCUACAGGAUCCCUUUCUGUACAAAAUUCAAUUUUUUAAAAAUCUUAGUUCAAAGUUAUUUUGUAAACAAAGUUUUUCCCUCAGAUUCUCAUUUUACAAAGAAACUGUCCACAUUUCAUUGAGUAUUUUGCAGUCCAAAUUCUUGCUAGAAUUUUCUUUGCCAAAAGAAAGUCUGGAAUAUUUUUGCAGAGCUGCAAAUAACAAGGACAGUUCCACUGAAAUAUCAUGGCUGACUGGUAGUUAGGCAACAAAGAGAAUCAUGUUGGACGAGAAGAAACUGCUAGGAGCCAAGCAUAAAAUGUAAAAGUAUAAUAGAUUCUGGGAAAUUUUGAGCACAUUGGAAACCAUCUCAUCUACUUGGACUUCUGAGUGUUCUCUGUCGUCUUUGUACCCACAACUAUACCUGACCAAUUAGCUUGGUGAACUGAUUGAGAAUUUUAUGUGUGCAUCUUAUGUGAGCAUCUUGUUAUAUGUGGGGUUUUUUUAAUUUAUAAUGUUGUGCUUUUAUCUCUCUGUUUAAACCAUGUUGUAUCCUAUCUCAGGCCGCAAGAAACAGUGAGUAAUACUUUUACUGUUGUUGUUGCUGUUGCUCAGUAUAUGUUUGGGUGGAGCUGCUUGCUACUAGAAACUGAAUAAAGUGUUAAAAAUAUUUCAUGUUGCAAAUGUACCUUGUCUAUACCAGAUGAUAGGAAUCUUAGGCUUUCUAGGAUGCCAUCAAAUACUUUGUGAUAAGUGUAUGAAAGUUGUUUCCUCAAGUCAUACUAGAUACAUUGAGAGUAGAGAACAG
rnacentral:lncRNA from 11 species